UCAAAAACCCUCCCGUUCACGCCUCUAAAUGUUUCAGUGUUCUUCAUCUUCUUCUCUCCUCUUCCCCUUUUGCUCUUGAUAUAGCACUGGGAAUUGGUGGACUUCCAAAAGGACGUGUUGUGGAAAUAUAUGGUCCAGAGGCUUCUGGGAAAACAACUCUUGCUUUACAUGUGAUUUCAGAGGCACAGAAGCAAGGAGUAGGGAAGUUACCAGCAUCUUAGGCUAAUCCUGAAGUGGUCUCUGCUUUUAGAAGAGAGGAAAAAGAACAGGCCAUGAGGCUUUUGGAUAAUUACUUGAGAAUUUGCCGUGCAGCUAAGGU